AGAGUUUGAUCCUGGCUCAGGAUGAACGCUGGCGGCGUGCUUAACACAUGCAAGUCGAACGGUGAAGCAGAGCUUGCUCUGUGGAUCAGUGGCGAACGGGUGAGUAACACGUGAGCAACCUGCCCCUGACUCUGGGAUAAGCGCUGGAAACGGCGUCUAAUACCGGAUAUGAGCUGCGAUCGCAUGGUCAGCAGUUGGAAAGAUUUUUCGGUCUGGGAUGGGCUCACGGCCUAUCAGCUUGUUGGUGAGGUAAUGGCUCACCAAGGCGUCGACGGGUAGCCGGCCUGAGAGGGUGACCGGCCACACUGGGACUGAGACACGGCCCAGACUCCUACGGGAGGCAGCAGUGGGGAAUAUUGCACAAUGGGCGAAAGCCUGAUGCAGCAACGCCGCGUGAGGGAUGACGGCCUUCGGGUUGUAAACCUCUUUUAGCAGGGAAGAAGCGAAAGUGACGGUACCUGCAGAAAAAGCGCCGGCUAACUACGUGCCAGCAGCCGCGGUAAUACGUAGGGCGCAAGCGUUAUCCGGAAUUAUUGGGCGUAAAGAGCUCGUAGGCGGUUUGUCGCGUCUGCUGUGAAAUCCCGAGGCUCAACCUCGGGU
rnacentral:rRNA from 1 species